rfam:Ficedula albicollis isolate OC2 chromosome 12, whole genome shotgun sequence.
AUAAUGGUUCUUUUAAGAACCAUUAAUUUAAACUGGGAAACACCAG